GUCUCCUUUCUCCAAUCAGUGAAACUGAUCUUCCCGUGAAGAAGCAGGAAUUAAUUUAUAAGACGAGAAGACCCCAUGGAGCUUUAAACCCAAUUACAUCCUUAUAUUUAAAAUCUUCAUAGCUUUUAAGGUGUUGUAUAUUCGGUUUUAGGUUGGGGUGACCGCGGAGCAUAAAUAAGCCUCCACGAUGAAUGGGAAUAUUUCCCUUAUCUAAGAACUACAUUUCUAAGAAUUAAUAUUUUAACAUAUAAUGAUCCAAUAUUUGAUCAACGAACCAAGUUACCCUGGGGAUAACAGCGCAAUCCACUUCAAGAGCCCCUAUCGACAAGUGGGUUUACGACCUCGAUGUUG
rnacentral:rRNA from 1 species